GGGUUGUGAGGUUAAGCGACUAAGCGUACACGGUGGAUGCCCUGGCAGUCAGAGGCGAUGAAGGACGUGCUAAUCUGCGAUAAGCGUCGGUAAGGUGAUAUGAACCGUUAUAACCGGCGAUUUCCGAAUGGGGAAACCCAGUGUGAUUCGUCACACUAUCAUUAACUGAAUCCAUAGGUUAAUGAGGCGAACCGGGGGAACUGAAACAUCUAAGUACCCCGAGGAAAAGAAAUCAACCGAGAUUCCCCCAGUAGCGGCGAGCGAACGGGGAGCAGCCCAGAGCCUGAAUCAGUGUGUGUGUUAGUGGAAGCGUCUGGAAAGGCGUGCGAUACAGGGUGACAGCCCCGUACACAAAAAUGCACAUACUGUGAGCUCGAUGAGUAGGGCGGGACACGUGGUAUCCUGUCUGAAUAUGGGGGGACCAUCCUCCAAGGCUAAAUACUCCUGACUGACCGAUAGUGAACCAGUACCGUGAGGGAAAGGCGAAAAGAACCCCGGCGAGGGGAGUGAAAAAGAACCUGAAACCGUGUACGUACAAGCAGUGGGAGCACGCUUAGGCGUGUGACUGCGUACCUUUUGUAUAAUGGGUCAGCGACUUAUAUUCUGUAGCAAGGUUAACCGAAUAGGGGAGCCGAAGGGAAACCGAGUCUUAACUGGGCGUUAAGUUGCAGGGUAUAGACCCGAAACCCGGUGAUCUAGCCAUGGGCAGGUUGAAGGUUGGGUAACACUAACUGGAGGACCGAACCGACUAAUGUUGAAAAAUUAGCGGAUGACUUGUGGCUGGGGGUGAAAGGCCAAUCAAACCGGGAGAUAGCUGGUUCUCCCCGAAAGCUAUUUAGGUAGCGCCUCGUGAAUUCAUCUCCGGGGGUAGAGCACUGUUUCGGCAAGGGGGUCAUCCCGACUUACCAACCCGAUGCAAACUGCGAAUACCGGAGAAUGUUAUCACGGGAGACACACGGCGGGUGCUAACGUCCGUCGUGAAGAGGGAAACAACCCAGACCGCCAGCUAAGGUCCCAAAGUCAUGGUUAAGUGGGAAACGAUGUGGGAAGGCCCAGACAGCCAGGAUGUUGGCUUAGAAGCAGCCAUCAUUUAAAGAAAGCGUAAUAGCUCACUGGUCGAGUCGGCCUGCGCGGAAGAUGUAACGGGGCUAAACCAUGCACCGAAGCUGCGGCAGCGACGCUUAUGCGUUGUUGGGUAGGGGAGCGUUCUGUAAGCCUGUGAAGGUGUGCUGUGAGGUAUGCUGGAGGUAUCAGAAGUGCGAAUGCUGACAUAAGUAACGAUAAAGCGGGUGAAAAGCCCGCUCGCCGGAAGACCAAGGGUUCCUGUCCAACGUUAAUCGGGGCAGGGUGAGUCGACCCCUAAGGCGAGGCCGAAAGGCGUAGUCGAUGGGAAACAGGUUAAUAUUCCUGUACUUGGUGUUACUGCGAAGGGGGGACGGAGAAGGCUAUGUUGGCCGGGCGACGGUUGUCCCGGUUUAAGCGUGUAGGCUGGUUUUCCAGGCAAAUCCGGAAAAUCAAGGCCGAGGCGUGAUGACGAGGCACUACGGUGCUGAAGCAACAAAUGCCCUGCUUCCAGGAAAAGCCUCUAAGCAUCAGGUAACAUCAAAUCGUACCCCAAACCGACACAGGUGGUCAGGUAGAGAAUACCAAGGCGCUUGAGAGAACUCGGGUGAAGGAACUAGGCAAAAUGGUGCCGUAACUUCGGGAGAAGGCACGCUGAUACGUAGGUGAAGCGACUUGCUCGUGGAGCUGAAAUCAGUCGAAGAUACCAGCUGGCUGCAACUGUUUAUUAAAAACACAGCACUGUGCAAACACGAAAGUGGACGUAUACGGUGUGACGCCUGCCCGGUGCCGGAAGGUUAAUUGAUGGGGUUAGCGCAAGCGAAGCUCUUGAUCGAAGCCCCGGUAAACGGCGGCCGUAACUAUAACGGUCCUAAGGUAGCGAAAUUCCUUGUCGGGUAAGUUCCGACCUGCACGAAUGGCGUAAUGAUGGCCAGGCUGUCUCCACCCGAGACUCAGUGAAAUUGAACUCGCUGUGAAGAUGCAGUGUACCCGCGGCAAGACGGAAAGACCCCGUGAACCUUUACUAUAGCUUGACACUGAACAUUGAGCCUUGAUGUGUAGGAUAGGUGGGAGGCUUUGAAGUGUGGACGCCAGUCUGCAUGGAGCCGACCUUGAAAUACCACCCUUUAAUGUUUGAUGUUCUAACGUGGACCCGUGAUCCGGGUUGCGGACAGUGUCUGGUGGGUAGUUUGACUGGGGCGGUCUCCUCCUAAAGAGUAACGGAGGAGCACGAAGGUUGGCUAAUCCUGGUCGGACAUCAGGAGGUUAGUGCAAUGGCAUAAGCCAGCUUGACUGCGAGCGUGACGGCGCGAGCAGGUGCGAAAGCAGGUCAUAGUGAUCCGGUGGUUCUGAAUGGAAGGGCCAUCGCUCAACGGAUAAAAGGUACUCCGGGGAUAACAGGCUGAUACCGCCCAAGAGUUCAUAUCGACGGCGGUGUUUGGCACCUCGAUGUCGGCUCAUCACAUCCUGGGGCUGAAGUAGGUCCCAAGGGUAUGGCUGUUCGCCAUUUAAAGUGGUACGCGAGCUGGGUUUAGAACGUCGUGAGACAGUUCGGUCCCUAUCUGCCGUGGGCGCUGGAGAACUGAGGGGGGCUGCUCCUAGUACGAGAGGACCGGAGUGGACGCAUCACUGGUGUUCGGGUUGUCAUGCCAAUGGCACUGCCCGGUAGCUAAAUGCGGAAGAGAUAAGUGCUGAAAGCAUCUAAGCACGAAACUUGCCCCGAGAUGAGUUCUCCCUGACCCUUUAAGGGUCCUGAAGGAACGUUGAAGACGACGAC
rnacentral:rRNA from 1 species